UAGUUGGUGAGGUAAUGGCUCACCAAGGCAAUGACGCCUAACUGGUUUGAGAGGAUGAUCAGUCACACUGGAACUGAGACACGGUCCAGACUCCUACGGGAGGCAGCAGUGGGGAAUAUUGCACAAUGGAGGAAACUCUGAUGCAGCAACGCCGCGUGGAGGAUGACACUUUUCGGAGCGUAAACUCCUUUUAUAUAGGAAGAUAAUGACGGUACUAUAUGAAUAAGCACCGGCUAACUCCGUGCCAGCAGCCGCGGUAAUACGGAGGGUGCAAGCGUUACUCGGAAUCACUGGGCGUAAAGAGCGUGUAGGCGGGUUAAUAAGUUGGAAGUGAAAUCCUAUAGCUCAACUAUAGAACUGCUUUCAAAACUGUUAACCUAGAAUAUGGGAGAGGUAGAUGGAAUUUCUGGUGUAGGGGUAAAAUCCGUAGAGAUCAGAAGGAAUACCGAUUGCGAAGGCGAUCUACUGGAACAUUAUUGACGCUGAGACGCGAAAGCGUGGGGAGCAAACAGGAUUAGAUACCCUGGUAGUCCACGCCCUAAACGAUGUACACUAGUUGUUGCGAUGCUAGACAUUGCAGUAAUGCAGUUAACACAUUAAGUGUACCGCCUGGGGGAGUACGGUCGCAAGAUUAAAACUCAAAGGAAUAGACGGGGACCCGCACAAGCGGUGGAGCAUGUGGUUUAAUUCGACGAUACGCGAAGAACCUUACCUGGACUUGACAUUUACAGAAUUUUUCAGAGAUGAAUUAGUGUCUGCUUGCAGAAACUGUAGGACAGGUGCUGCACGGCUGUCGUCAGCUCGUGUCGUGAGAUGUUGGGUUAAGUCCCGCAACGAGCGCAACCCACGUCGUUAGUUGCUAACAGUUCGGCUGAGAACUCUAACGAGACUGCCUGGGCAACCAGGAGGAAGGUGUGGACGACGUCAAGUCAUCAUGGCCCUUACGUCCAGGGCUACACACGUGCUACAAUGGGGCAUACAAAGAGCAGCGAUACCGCGAGGUGGAGCAAAUCUCAAAAAUGCCUCCCAGUUCGGAUAGUAGUCUGCAACUCGACUACUUGAAGUUGGAAUCGCUAGUAAUCGUAGAUCAGCAAUGCUACGGUGAAUACGUUCCCGGGUCUUGUACUCACCGCCCGUCACACCAUGGGAGUUGAACUCAUUCGAAGCGGGGAUGCUAAGAUAGCUACCCUCCACAGUGGAUUCAGCGACUGGGGUG
rnacentral:rRNA from 1 species